rnacentral:rRNA from 1 species
GCUAGCGGCGGACGGGUGAGUAACACGUGGGCAACCUGCCUCAUAGAGGGGAAUAGCCUUCCGAAAGGGAGAUUAAUACCGCAUAAGAUUGUAGCUUCGCAUGAAGUAGCAAUUAAAGGAGCAAUCCGCUAUGAGAUGGGCCCGCGGCGCAUUAGCUAGUUGGUGAGGUAAUGGCUCACCAAGGCGACGAUGCGUAGCCGACCUGAGAGGGUGAUCGGCCACAUUGGGACUGAGACACGGCCCAGACUCCUACGGGAGGCAGCAGUGGGGAAUAUUGCACAAUGGGGGAAACCCUGAUGCAGCAACGCCGCGUGAGUGAUGACGGCCUUCGGGUUGUAAAGCUCUGUCUUCAGGGACGAUAAUGACGGUACCUGAGGAGGAAGCCACGGCUAACUACGUGCCAGCAGCCGCGGUAAUACGUAGGUGGCGAGCGUUGUCCGGAUUUACUGGGCGUAAAG